GCCCAGGUGGCGGAAUUGGUAGACGCACUAGGUUCAGGUCCUAGCGCCCGCAAGGGUGUGGAAGUUCGAGUCUUCUCUUGGGC
rnacentral:tRNA from 1 species